rnacentral:misc_RNA from 1 species
AACGCAAAUCGCGCUCGAGGCCUCGGCCGAGAGCAUGUCUGCCUCAGCGUCGUCUCACCCCCUCCCUUUCGGUCACCCGAUCGAAGGGGGAACUGGUCGUUUCGGUGCCUGGCACCGAAUCGGUCGAAAUGCAGAAGGACCCUCCUUUCACCAAGGGUCUCGAAAGGUAGAUUGCCCUCGGGCGAUUCCUAUCGAGGCUCGAAAGGCAGGCCGCCCUACAGCCGGAGAAACACACCCAGACUUUGACCUGAGUUCAGGCAAGAACACCCGCUGAACUUAA